rnacentral:lncRNA from 1 species
CCCAUAUAUACCGUAUUAAGUCACUAGCACACUAUGUAACUAAUAAUAUACAAGAAAGGCAGUUUCGUAUUCUUUGAUAUCAAGUUCAAUUCUCCCGAUGCAGAAACGACCACUUUUUUUUCUGUGUCCAGUACAAUGUAGCAUCGUAUAUUCUUAAAAUAUUUUCUCGCAUAAUGCCUGGACAUCGGUGGACAUGCAACAUUACACAGUGUGACACGUUUACAAAUGAAAAUCAACACUCAGACUAGUCAUUAAGUAGGACAAUAAAUGACCAAAAGACAAACCCGGGACACAGAAGUACAAACAAUAGACCAUCAACUCUGAAAACCAAAAGUAAAAUAGAAACAUGGAUUACGAAAAAUAUGCAGGGGCGACAUCAGAGUGUGAAGAGAACUUGCUUCUUGCAAGACACUUUCAAUGAAAACAAUUUGAUAUGAAGACAAUCUUUUGUUUUAGUUUUUUUUUUUUUUUUUGAAAUUUAAAACAUGAGGCAUUUGCCUC